rnacentral:rRNA from 1 species
AUACGAGGGGUGCAAGCGUUAAUCGGAAUUACUGGGCGUAAAGCGUUCGUAGGCGGUUUGUUAAGCAAGAUGUGAAAGCCCUGGGCUCAACCUGGGAACUGCAUUUUGAACUGGCAAGCUAGAAUACUGUAGAGGGUGGUGGAAUUUCCAGUGUGGCGGUGAAAUGCGUAGAGAUUGGAAGGAACAUCAGUGGCGAAGGCGGCCACCUGGACAGAUAUUGACGCUGAGGAACGAAAGCGUGGGGAGCGAACAGGAUUAGAUACCCUAGUAGUCC